UACGUAGGCAGCGAGCGUUGUUCGGAAUUACUGGGCGUAAAGAGUGUGUAGGCGGUGCUCUAAGUUCGGUGUGAAAUCUCCCGGCUCAACUGGGAGGGUGCGGUGGAAACUGGGGUGCUUGAGUGUGGGAGAGGUUAGCGGAAUUCCUGGUGUAGCGGUGAAAUGCGUAGAUAUCAGGAGGAACACCGGCGGUGUAGACGGCUAACUGGACCACGACUGACGCUGAGGCACGAAAGCGUGGGUAGCAAACAGG
rnacentral:rRNA from 1 species